AUACGGAGGAUGCAAGCGUUAUCCGGAUUUAUUGGGUUUAAAGGGUGCGUAGGCGGAUGAUUAAGCGUGAGGUGAAAUGCCACUGCUCAACAGUGGAACUGCCUCGCGGACUGGUUGUCUUGAAUGCUCCUGCCGUGGGAGGAAUGUGUGGUGUAGCGGUGAAAUGCAUAGAGAUCACACAGAACACCGAUUGCGAAGGCAUCUCACGAAGGGGUGAUUGACGCUGAGGCACGGAAGCGUGGGGAUCAAACAGGAUUAGAUACCCUGGUAGUCCACGCAGUAAACGAUGAUAACUAACCGCUGGGUCGUAGUGAUUCAGUGGCCAAGCGAAAGCGAUAAGUUAUCCACCUGGGGAGUACGACCGCAAGGCUGAAACUCAAAGGAAUUGACGGGG
rnacentral:rRNA from 1 species